AAUGAUCAACCAGAUUUUGAGAUUAGUUGUCCUGAUGUUUUUGGUGUUGCUUUAGUUGAAUUCAUAGCGGACCUUGUGCAUAAUCAGUACUUUGUAGAUUCUGAUUCUCAAAAUAAACCUGUUAUUACUAGUGACAGCUGUAGUUCACAAAACAAACUUAAUUCCAGCGUUCCAUCUCCCGAGACUGAGCAACUUAACAAUGAGGCUUCUGGAUCAAUUAGUCAGCAGGGCGAGCCUGUUGAUACAAUGUCAGCAUCAGAUGGACAGGGUCCUGAGGAGGAAGAAGCUUUAUUGGUCAAGAACCUU
rnacentral:lncRNA from 1 species